UACGGGGGGGGCAAGCGUUGUUCGGAAUUACUGGGCGUAAAGGGCUCGUAGGCGGCCAACUAAGUCAGACGUGAAAUCCCUCGGCUUAACCGGGGAACUGCGUCUGAUACUGGAUGGCUGGAGUUUGGGAGAGGGAUGCGGAAUUCCUGGUGUAGCGGUGAAAUGCGCAGAUAUCAGGAAGAACACCUAUGGCGAAGGCAGCACUCUGGGACGGUACUGACGCUGAGACGCGAAAGCGUGGGGAGCGAACAGG
rnacentral:rRNA from 1 species